rnacentral:rRNA from 1 species
AGCGAACGUUUGCGGCGGGCCUAACACAUGCAAGUCGAACGCACUAGCAAUAGUGAGUGGCGCACGGGUGCGUAACACGUGGGUAAUCAACCCUUCAGCCUGGGAUAACGACUCGAAAGGGUCGCUAAUACCGGAUACGGCGCGAGAGGCUUCGGCUUCUCACGAGAAAGCCACGCAAGGGGCACUGAAGGACGAGCCUGCGGCUCAUCAGCUAGUUGGUGAGGUAAGAGCUCACCAAGGCUAAGACGGGUAGCUGGUCUGAGAGGAUGAUCAGCCACACUGGAACUGAGACACGGUCCAGACUCCUACGGGAGGCAGCAGUGGGGAAUAUUGCGCAAUGGGCGAAAGCCUGACGCAGCCACGCCGCGUGAGCGAUGAAGGCCU